GCAGACGGCGGAGAGCAGAGAGGGAGCGCGCCUUGGCUCGCUGGCCUUGGCGGCGGCUCCUCAGGAGAGCUGGGGCGCCCACGAGAGGAUCCCUCACCCGGGUCUCUCCUCAGGGAUGACAUCAUCCGUCCACCUCCUUGUCUUCAAGGACCACCUCCUCUCCAUGCUGAGCUGCUGCCAAGGGGCCUGCUGCCCAUCUACACCUCACGAGGGCACUAGGAGCACGGUUUCCUGGAUCCCACCAACAUACAAAGCAGCCACUCACUGACCCCCAGGACCAGGAUGGCAAAGGAUGAAGAGGACCGGAACUGACCAGCCAGCUGUCCCUCUUACCUAAAGACUUAAACCAAUGCCCUAGUGAGGGGGCAUUGGGCAUUAAGCCCUGACCUUUGCUAUGCUCAUACUUUGACUCUAUGAGUACUUUCCUAUAAGUCUUUGCUUGUGUUCACCUGCUAGCAAACUGGAGUGUUUCCCUCCCCAAGGGGGUGUCAGUCUUUGUCGACUGACUCUGUCAUCACCCUUAUGAUGUCCUGAAUGGAAGGAUCCCUUUGGGAAAUUCUCAGGAGGGGGACCUGGGCCAAGGGCUUGGCCAGCAUCCUGCUGGCAACUCCAAGGCCCUGGGUGGGCUUCUGGAAUGAGCAUGCUACUGAAUCACCAAAGGCACGCCCGACCUCUCUGAAGAUCUUCCUAUCCUUUUCUGGGGGAAUGGGGUCGAUGAGAGCAACCUCCUAGGGUUGUUGUGAGAAUUAAAUGAGAUAAAAGAGGCCUCAGGCAGGAUCUGGCAUAGAGGAGGUGAUCAGCAAAUGUUUGUUGAAAAGGUUUGACAGGUCAGUCCCUUCCCACCCCUCUUGCUUGUCUUACUUGUCUUAUUUAUUCUCCAACAGCACUCCAGGCAGCCCUUGUCCACGGGCUCUCCUUGCAUCAGCCAAGCUUCUUGAAAGGCCUGUCUACACUUGCUGUCUUCCUUCCUCACCUCCAAUUUCCUCUUCAACCCACUGCUUCCUGACUCGCUCUACUCCGUGGAAGCACGCUCACAAAGGGCUAAUCUCGGGCCUUGUCGAAGGAAGAGGCUGCAGACGUUAAUGAGGUUAGCUGCUGGAUUCCAGUAUUCGUCGCAUAAGGAUCCUUCUUUGUCUGCGAAGGAAAAACACACUGAUUAUCAUAAUGAGUUCCUGACCUGGCCAUCCCGGGGUGCCCUUGACCAGCCCCGUGUCUCCUCAGGGUGUCCCAGCACCAGCCUGGCACAGAGUGGGGCUCAGUUAGAGUAUGUGGGAUGUUGGUUUCGCCAGGCACGUGGGCCGUGGCCCGGCUGGGUCGGCUGAAGAACUGCGGAUGGAAGCUGCGGAAGAGGCCCUGAUGGGGCCCACCAUCCCGGACCCAAGUCUUCUUCCUGGCGGGCCUCUCGUCUCCUUCCUGGUUUGGGCGGAAGCCAUCACCUGGAUGCCUACGUGGGAAGGGACCUCGAAUGUGGGACCCCAGCCCCUCUCCAGCUCGAAAUCCCUCCACAGCCACGGGGACACCCUGCACCUAUUCCCACGGGACAGGCUGGACCCAGAGACUCUGGACCCGGGGCCUCCCCUUGAGUAGAGACCCGCCCUCUGACUGAUGGACGCCGCUGACCUGGGGUCAGACCCGUGGGCUGGACCCCUGCCCACCCCGCAGGAACCCUGAGGCCUAGGGGAGCUGUUGAGCCUUCAGUGUCUGCAUGUGGGAAGUGGGCUCCUUCACCUACCUCACAGGGCUGUUGUGAGGGGCGCUGUGAUGCGGUUCCAAAGCACA
rnacentral:lncRNA from 1 species